rnacentral:sRNA from 1 species
UCGAUAAUCUCGUCCAGG